UCAGUAACGGCGAGUGAAGCGGCAAAAGCUCAAAUUUGAAAUCUGGCACUUUCAGUGUCCGAGUUGUAAUUUGUAGAAGUAGUUUUGGGACUGGUCCUUAUCUAUGUUUCUUGGAACAGGACGUCAUAGAGGGUGAGAACCCCGUAUGAUGAGGCCCCCAGUCCUUUGUAAAACGCUUUCGAAGAGUCGAGUUGUUUGGGAAUGCAGCUCUAAGUGGGUGGUAAAUUCCAUCUAAAGCUAAAUAUUGGCGAGAGACCGAUAGCGAACAAGUACAGUGAUGGAAAGAUGAAAAGAACUUUGAAAAGAGAGUGAAAAAGUACGUGAAAUUGUUGAAAGGGAAGGGCAUUUGAUCAGACAUGGUGUUUUGCGCCCUUUGCUCCUUGUGGGCGGAGGAUACGCAGCUCACUGGGCCAACAUCAGUUUUGGGAGCAGGAUAAAUCUGUAGGAACGUAGCUUUCUUCGGGAAGUGUUAUAGCCUAUGGGAAUACUGCUACCUGGGACUGAGGACUGCGUCUUUUGACAAGGAUGUUGGCAUAAUGGUUAAAUGCCGCCCGUCUUGAAACACGGACCAAAAA
rnacentral:rRNA from 1 species